rnacentral:rRNA from 1 species
GCAAGCGUUGUCCGGAUUUAUUGGGCGUAAAGAGCGUGUAGGCGGCCUGACAGGUCUGCUGUGAAAACUCGAGGCUCAACCUCGAGAUGUCGGCGGAAACCGUCUGGCUAGAGUCCGGAAGAGGAGAGUGGAAUUCCUGGUGUAGCGGUGAAAUGCGCAGAUAUCAGGAAGAACACCUAUGGCGAAGGCAGCUCUCUGGGACGGUACUGACGCUGAGACGCGAAAGCGUGGGGAGCAAACAGG